CCACAGCGAAAUAACAAACAUUUCUUUCAAGUUGUAUUUUUGCAAGAUUUUGUAAAUUUCGAAACCUUUCUAAGAGCCACAUAACGUCUAAAAACUUCUAAAAGAUUGGGGGAAAGCCGCCGACGUUAAUGAAGGUAAGUUAGUUUUAAAUAUUGAUGUAUUGUUUGUUUUAUAAUUGAUAUAUUUAUAACUGAUAGCUAGUGGUGGGCGAUACUGCGAAUAUCGAACUGAUAUACUAUCGUUGCGCUCGUCAGCCACGUCGUUGCGUAUAUAAGUGAAAAAAAGACAGCAUAUAAUUUCAGUGUUGUUUUAUUAAUUGCCCUUUCUGUUGUGUAUUAAAAUGUUGAAAUAAAGAGGAAACCAAAGUUAUUUUCAUGCUAGAAUUUGAAAUCAGGUUAUUUCAAACUCAAUGUUUACCGAUAAUGCGAUAAAAGGCCGAAUAGUCCUAAGGCUAAGAAGAUUUUAAAACGUUUUGCGAAGCGUUUGUGGUUGAAUUUGACAUUAAAUUGAAGCUUAUAUUACGUAUAAUAACAUACUAGCAUAUAUAUGUUUGGGAAAUUGAUAAUUUUGUUAUUAAAAGUGAUAUUUUGGGGGGAUUUUUCAAUUUUAAAACUAUUCUUAAAAAUAUCGUGUUACCAUGACAACUACUUAUACUCUUCAUAUUCAGAAAACAUAAUGUUUUAUCAGUAAGGCGAGGGUUUCUGCAUGCAUGAAUUUUCUGGUAAGGGGGUAUAUUAUAGGGGGUUGAUCGCUCCGCAAACCGUCCUAUUUUUGUCUCCUUCACCGUUAAUCACCCGUAUUUCUUCGUGAAAACCGAAACCGUCAUUUUUUUUAUAGAGUAAAAGUUGAUCGGCCAGAAACUUCGCAACGGUCGACGGGAGGACAAACGGGUGGCUCAUUUUCGUUGAGAAACAUUUAACCUCAUGAUAUAUAUUCUGGAAUCUUGUUGGGCGCCUCACAAGUUGCGAACACAAAUAAAACACAAUAUCUCUCUGAAGAAUUUCAAUACUGCACGUAGCUAUAGCUAUAAGUAUAUACCAUUAUUGCAAGCUUGAGGGGGAGUACAGACAUUCUGUCUGAAGGAAUUGAAAGGUUUUGCCGCCCUUUCUCUGAACAAAAAAAAUUAAAAACAAAAUACUUUAGCCGUUUAUUAUAAAAAAUACUUGAGCCUUUUACAACGUAAGUACAGAAGCUAUAGGAAACUUUAUCCGGUAUAUUGUCAGUUCUAAACUCUUCCUUCUCUUGGUCGAGUGUGUUACCAGCUACAGGAGGAAACUUUAACUAAACCAACUAUAUAAACCAAGAGCUCAUGCUUGCUGCAUAACUUUCUGCAUAAUGUAGGUGAAAAGAUUCAACAAUAUCGGCAGCCAAUUCGAAAAAGGCUGUCCUUUGAAAACCUUAAUUAAACUCUAAACCUUAAACCUUGAACUCUAAGCGCGCAAAGCUUAAUGGGAGCACAAGUUUCAAGCUUAGUGGUUGAAUAUUAUUGAAGCUAUUUGUGAAUGAAUUGUUCUCCUAUAAGGAGAUAUUUACCAUGUCUCCGAGAAACGGGCCCCAUAUACUGCUUUCCAAACUGAUUAAGCAUAGCUGUUCCCGUUAUGCUUUGCACGCUUAGACUUUAACCUCUUUCUCAGCAGGGUCCAUUACGCGUAGAACGUGCACGUUCUUUUUUUUUUUAAAAUUUUUUUCGCCCAAUUACAUAACAAUAAGAAGUAGAAUUAAAUAUUUACGUUCUACGGAUGUUUCGUUUAUAUCUUCGGUUCAGUACAUGCUAUGUAGAUGAAAAUACCACCAUUCGAUUCAGUAUAAAAAUAUAUACUAAUGUAUAACGAUAGUUUUAGUCACUGGCUACAUUGUAGCGAUUUAUGAGCUUUGAAAGUCAAGCGGACUUGUAUAUGAUCAAAUUACGCAAUAUUACUAACAAAUUAUAAACAUAGACAUACAUUUCGCCGAACAUAACUUCGGCCCCUUGAGACGUAUGCUCAUUCUGGUAUUCUUGAUGAAUGAAGCAGUUAAAAAUAACACGUAUAGAGUGUUAUUUUCAAGCUUCUAUCUUUAAAAUGUGACUUUUGUUCCAGAAUUUUCCAUUUCUGCUUCGAAUUUGCGUUAAUCCCAAAACGGAAAUACGAUUAAAAACCGUCAAAACAAUGCAAAGUUUGUAUCGCGUGACUCUGGAAAUGCCAGAAAUGGAUUCUACAGGUCAAAGUGUACCUAUACGCGGAAGUUUGACGUCAUCCCGGAUAAAAAGAGCUCCUUAUUGGCCAAGUAUUACGCAAUACACGCGCGUGCGAGUAAAACCCGAUACCUUGAAAAAUUCAAAAUAAAUAUUUCUACUCACCGUAUUCAUACGAAACUUUCUACACGAAAGCGCUUGAAUACAAAGAGUAUUUUACACAUAUAUCCUUUCAGAAAAUGACGCCAAAUUUUAGAAUAUGUUCAACUUAUUCUCUUUUUCUCGUUUGAAUGUUUGGCGAAGCGGUGAGUAUAAAUAUAUGAUUGUUUCGGUUUGUGUAAUGUUUUGACGGCACUUGACCCCCCGCCGUUCGAAAGGUUAUAUUCUGAGGAUUUCAAUGGUGGGAUAUAUUUAAAAGGGGGGUAAAUACUCACAGAGAUAUUUAUAUUAGAAAAAUUGAAUGGAAAUGUAAUACGAAACCGGCCUGUCGAGAAAGAGUUUUAAGGUUUAAGGUUUUGAGUUUAAGGUCUUUCAAAGGAAAACCUUUUUUUGAAUUAGCUGUGUAUGGUUUGAAAUAUUUUGUCAAUUUUAACGUUUGACGAGACUAUACUACCUUUAGAACUAAUAUUAGUUACUUCCUUCUAUAAUACCAUAGAUUUAUUUAAUUUGCAUAUCUCGAGAACGAAAAAAGAUAAGCUAGAAAAGUUGUCGAGUGAACUUAUUUUACAAUUUUACAUAUUCCUUCAGCCUAAAAUGCGGACUUAAAUUCCGUUGCCAUGAAUUGUAGUAAACUCGCCUGUUAGUUCACGGUCAUGGCUAUGGGCAAAUAUCACAGCAGACAAAACUUUAUAUAGAGGCAAUUACGCCAACAUUGAGGCAAUUACAUUGAGGCAAUUACGCCAAAGCUAGAUAAAGAUCUAAAGAGUUUGGAAAAAAUUUAUUCGCCGUAAUUUGGAGAUAGAAAGAUAGUCACAUUUUCAAGCAUUUUGUGUGUUUUUUCCAAUAAUUAAUGUAUUGCGCUUUUCAAAGAUAUUUCGUUAUCUCGAUAACAUUGUCAUAAAGCACAAUAAGAUCCUUGAUCAUGCGCCCCCCUGACAAAAUUUUGGAUCCUCCCUG
rnacentral:lncRNA from 1 species